GAUGAACGCUGGCGGCGUGCCUAAUACAUGCAAGUCGAACGCUGAAGGAAGGAGCUUGCUCUUUCCGGAUGAGUUGCGAACGGGUGAGUAACGCGUAGGUAACCUGCCUGGUAGCGGGGGAUAACUAUUGGAAACGAUAGCUAAUACCGCAUAACAGUAGAUGUUGCAUGACAACUAUUUGAAAGGGGCAAUUGCUCCACUACCAGAUGGACCUGCGUUGUAUUAGCUAGUUGGUGAGGUAACGGCUCACCAAGGCGACGAUACAUAGCCGACCUGAGAGGGUGAUCGGCCACACUGGGACUGAGACACGGCCCAGACUCCUACGGGAGGCAGCAGUAGGGAAUCUUCGGCAAUGGACGGAAGUCUGACCGAGCAACGCCGAGUGAGUGAAGAAGGUUUUCGGAUCGUAAAGCUCUGUUGUAAGAGAAGAACGAGUGUGAGAGUGGAAAGUUCACACUGUGACGGUAUCUUACCAGAAAGGGACGGCUAACUACGUG
rnacentral:rRNA from 1 species